CAAGUACUUCCUCCGUUUCAAAAUUCUUGUCUUAGGUUUAUAUAGAAAUGAAUGUAUCUAAAUACUAANACGUGACUAGAUACAUUCAUAUAUAGAUAAAUCUAAGACAAGAAUUUUGUGAUGGAGGGAGUAACUG
rfam:Hordeum vulgare subsp. vulgare, WGS project CAJW01000000 data, contig: morex_contig_138637